AUAUUAUGUACUUAAAAAAAAAAACCGGUACAUUUAAGAUCGAUCGACGGUCUUCAACGCGUUAUUUAAAAAUGCCACGCAAAUCGGCCACUGUCAUAACACAUCUAGGUUGAGGAGUCAGACGAGACGACCUCCGUAUGAAGUCUUAAUCGAUUCCGGAAAUUGUUUUUUGCCUCAUUUAUUCUUAUACGCAAUUCGCUAGUUUUAAGUUUAAUAAGCCAUUUACCAAGAAAUGUUCUCUAGCACGUACUUCGAGUAAAGCAAAACGAAUGAAGGCCUUGUAAACCUAACAACUACCGUCAAAUGGUCAUCACGACAAUGGACCUGAGCAGUGCUGAAAAUAUAAGGCAUGAACAGCUUCUUCCUAACUCAAGAGAAACCAAGUCUUUUAAAAGAAGAAUUUGAAUAAUGAUCACGCACGAUAAUAGCAGGCAAAAGGACGUGACCUUAGUUUUCUUGUAGAAAAACAAAGGCGACACAUCUCACAAGGAAAAGUUGAACGAUGAUGAACCUGACCUAAUUGAUUUCAAUUCAACACCGGAACGAAUUCAAGGUGCGCCUCAUUAAGGCCGCACUUGGGCAUGCAACGCCUUACAUACCUAACUACGUUCAUUUCACGAAUUAAUUCUGAAUAAAACCGUAUUAAUAAACGACUUUAUAACUUU